rnacentral:rRNA from 1 species
AGCUCCAAUAGCGUAUAUUAAAGUUGUUGCAGUUAAAAAGCUCGUAGUUGGAUUUCGGAGUGGGCGAGUUGGUCCGCCGCAAGGUGUGUUACUGGCUCGUUUGCUCUUCUUCGCAAAGACUGCGUGUGCUCUUCGUUGGGGGUGGGUAGGAUUUACGACGUUUACUUUGAAAAAAUUAGAGUGUUCAAAGCAGGCUAUUGCUUGAAUACAUGAGCAUGGAAUAAUGGAAUAGGACUUUGGUCCCAUUUUGUUGGUUUCUAGGACCGAAGUAAUGAUUAAGAGGGACAAUUGGGGGCAUCCGUAUUUCGUUGUCAGAGGUGAAAUUCUUGGAUUUACGAAAGACGAACAACUGCGAAAGCACUUGCCAAGAGUGUUUUCA